rnacentral:lncRNA from 1 species
CUUCAAGUUUCCCAAGCAGCCAAAAAGCCUGUACCUCCACACAACAGAGUAAUACUUUCCUUGCUGCUGUCUCAAAACACUUUGCAAACAUUAAAGUCCAAACAGCUCUGUUUGAGAGAGAUAAGUACUGAACCAUAAUCAACUCCAUUACCUAUAGUGCUUUACCGUUCAGCUUUAAGCAGAAUUUCUACAGACCAGCAGCUGCAAAUUAAAGAAGGGAGAAAUGUGAGUGACUACUGUUUCACUCUUAUUGAGGUCACCGAGCUCGUAAAAUUCCUUUUACAUUUACUUGUGGCAUGGUCACCAAAAGCAAGCAGAAAUUCCCACCAUUCUGCUGUGGGUUCCAAUCAGGUAAUGAGAAGGCUUUACUUUCGUUUUUAUCCUCCCUUACCCUAGCAGUUAGCUCGUAUGUGCACAUAUUUCUUCAUUUGACUCUUUUAUGGUUGUUGCAGGUUUUUCCCAUCUUUUCCAUUCGUGUAGAGAAAAGAAAAUCCAUCUUCAGAUAGAAAGCAGAAACAAGGUCUGUUUCCUGAAGAACAUCUCCCUUGCAUUUACUGCCUCUCUUCUGGAAGGUGUUAGUCUCUAUGACAAUCCAGUCAUGUAAGUGUUAGUACUAAACAAACUCUCACUAGUAAAUUUGUAACUUGUUCUAAUUGAACCUCGUCUGGAAUGACA